GACGAACGCUGGCGGCGUGCUUAACACAUGCAAGUCGAACGGAAAGGCCCUGCUUUUGUGGGGUGCUCGAGUGGCGAACGGGUGAGUAACACGUGAGUAUCCUGCUCUUGAUUUUGGGAUAACUUCAGGAAACUGGGGCUAAUACCGGAUAGGAGCUCCUGCUGCAUGGUGGGGGUUGGAAAGUUUCGGCGGUUGGGGAUGGACUCGCGGCUUAUCAGCUUGUUGGUGGGGUAGUGGCUUACCAAGGCUUUGACGGGUAGCCGGCCUGAGAGGGUGACCGGCCACAUUGGGACUGAGAUACGGCCCAGACUCCUACGGGAGGCAGCAGUGGGGAAUAUUGCACAAUGGGCGGAAGCCUGAUGCAGCAACGCCGCGUGCGGGAUGACGGCCUUCGGGUUGUAAACCGCUUUCGCCUGUGACGAAGCGUGAGUGACGGUAAUGGGUAAAGAAGCACCGGCUAACUACGUG
rnacentral:rRNA from 1 species